rnacentral:sRNA from 1 species
AUUGACACAUUGUAAUAUUUUUCCUUGAGUCAUAUGUGUAAAUCUGUUACAUACGUUUUUCGCACUACUCAGUGGGAUUCUUAAUUUUUCUUCUUAGCUACUAACUUUACUUUCGUCAGAAAACUGCUUUUAUAUGUAAGAUGUUCAAAACUAAAGAAUAUUCCUUUUACUGUAAUAUAACUACACAAAAAAAUAUGAAGAGAAAUAAACAAUUUUAUUUGCAAAAUCUAGAUUUCAACUAGUGGGAAGACCUGUGAGCAGCUCUGCCUGAAGUUGGUCAUGUUUUUGAAAUACACCAUACAAUUUUUAAAAUAUAAUUUAGCAGAAAAUACAAUUUUAGAAAAAUAUAAUUUAGCAGACCUUAAAAUACUUGUUAACUUGUACUUAAUGGCAAAAUUAAAUACAAGUUAACAAGUGUUUUAUUAUGUUGCCUUUUUGAAUUCCUAAAGAUAAAAAGUAGUUGCCGUAGUUGCCAAUAAAUGAGUUUUUCUUUUUCCAGGGGUGGAAGCAGAAGAAUGGGGUAAAUUUCUUCACACCAAAAAUAAGCUUUACACGGAUUUUGAUGAAAUUCGACAAGAAAUUGAAAAUGAAACAGAAAGA